rnacentral:rRNA from 1 species
AGUGAACGCUGGCGGUAGGCCUAACACAUGCAAGUCGAACGGCAGCACAGUAAGAGCUUGCUCUUACGGGUGGCGAGUGGCGGACGGGUGAGGAAUACAUCGGAAUCUACUUUUUCGUGGGGGAUAACGUAGGGAAACUUACGCUAAUACCGCAUACGACCUACGGGUGAAAGCAGGGGAUCUUCGGACCUUGCGCGAUUGAAUGAGCCGAUGUCGGAUUAGCUAGUUGGCGGGGUAAAGGCCCACCAAGGCGACGAUCCGUAGCUGGUCUGAGAGGAUGAUCGGCCACACUGGAACUGAGACAGGGUCCAGACUCCUACGGGAGGCAGCAGUGGGGAAUAUUAGACAAUGGGCGCAAGCCUGAUCCAGCCAUACCGCGUGGGUGAAGAAGGCCUUCGGGUUGUAAAGCCCUUUUGUUGGGAAAGAAAAGCAGCAGGUUAAUACCCCGCUGUUCUGACGGUACCCAAAGAAUAAGCACCGGCUAACUUCGUG